rnacentral:rRNA from 1 species
UACGGAGGGUGCGAGCGUUGUCCGGAAUCAUUGGGCGUAAAGGGCGCGUAGGUGGCCCGGUCAGUUCGUGGUGAAAGCGCGGGGCUCAACCCUGCGUCGGCCAUGAAUACUGCCGCGGCUGGAGCACUGUAGAGGCAGGCGGAAUUCCGGGUGUAGCGGUGGAAUGCGUAGAGAUCCGGAGGAACCCCAGAGGCGAAGGCGGCAGCCUGGUUCGUACCUGACGCUCGGACACGACAGCAUGGGGAGCGAACGGG